rnacentral:lncRNA from 1 species
GAGGAGUCACAGUCCAGACGACCAACAGGUUAAACAUUGAGGAGACAGAGAGGAGUCACAGACCAGACGACCAACAGGUUAAACAUUGAGGAGACAGAGAGGAGUCACAGACCAGGUGACCAACAGGUUAAACAUUGAGGAGACAGAGAGGAGUCACAGUCCAGACGACCAACAGGUUAAACAUUGAGGAGACAGAGAGGAAUCACAGUCCAGACGACCAACAGGUUAAACAUUGAGGAGACAGAGAGGAGUCACAGUCCAGACGACCAACAGGUUAAACAUUGAAGAGACAGAGAGGAGUCACAGACCAGGCGACCAACAGGUUAAAACAUUGAAGCGACAGAGAGGAGUCACAGUCCAGACGACCAACAGGUUAAACAUUGAGGAGACAGAGAGGAGUCACAGUCCAGACGACCAACAGGUUAAAACAUUGAGGAGACAAAGAGGAGUCACAGACCAGACGACCAACAGGUUAAACAUUGAGGAGACAGAGAGGAGUCACAGUCCAGACGACCAACAGGUUAAACAUUGAGGAGACAGAGAGGAGUCACAGUCCAGACGACCAACAGGUUAAAACAUUGAGGAGACAGAGAGGAGUCACAGACCAGACGACCAACAGGUUAAACAUUGAGGAGACAGAGAGGAGUCACAGUCCAGACGACCAACAGGUUAAACAUUGAGGAGACAGAGAGGAGUCACAG